AACGAACGCUGGCGGCAUGCCUAACACAUGCAAGUCGAACGAGACCUUCGGGUCUAGUGGCGCACGGGUGCGUAACGCGUGGGAACCUGCCCUUAGGUUCGGAAUAACUCCCCGAAAGGGGUGCUAAUACCGGAUAAUGUCUUCGGACCAAAGAUUUAUCGCCUGUGGAUGGGCCCGCGUUGGAUUAGCUAGUUGGUAGGGUAAAAGCCUACCAAGGCGACGAUCCAUAGCUGGUCGGAGAGGAUGAUCAGCCACACUGGGACUGAGACACGGCCCAGACUCCUGCGGGAGGCAGCAGUGGGGAAAAUUGGACAAUGGGCGAAAGCCUGAUCCAGCAAGGCCGCGUGAGUGAUGAAGGGCUUAGGGUUGGAAAGCUCUUUUACCCGGGAGGAUAAUGACAGUACCGGGAGAAUAAGCUCCGGCUAACUCCGG
rnacentral:rRNA from 1 species